CUUAAUUUCUUUUCGACUGAAGAAAGAAAGACAUGGACAUCUUGGAUGACAUAGGGAAGAUCUUUCUUCCUCCCCAUUUUGCAUGAGAACUGUAACUUUCUGAAUGUGGAACAACCUCCAUGACAAUGUUAUCAAAACUAUCCUGUUCACCUGGAUCCACAAAAAUGACUGAAAACAUUGUAUCACACAAACCAGAUGAGUAGUUGGCGAUGCUGCUUUCAUAAAAAAGUUUUCCGUUUGAAAACGGUGUUGUGUAAACAGCCCCUAAGUUAAGUGUGUUGCAUCCUGUUAGCCUGUCAUUUGGAUUAUUGUUAUUAAAGCUUUGUGUUGGAACCUUCUUCAUCUUUGUCUGUUUACCUGCAACCACCCGUGACAGUUGUUUAGAGUAAAAAAAAUAAAAUAAAAAUUCCGUUGAGGGAGCGUGUGGCGAGGGGGGCGUGGUUCAGCGAGGUCUGCAGCAGGAGAAAGCGUCAGGAGAGGCUUGGUAAGUGAGCGGGUUAAAUGCAGGGGCGCAGGAGACAUUUUCAAAGUGAGGGGGGACCAAACUGCUUUCCGGGGGGGGGGAAACUGUAAUACUUAAUUGUAAAUUAAGUAUUACAGUAUACACAUACCAGUUAAACGCACAGAUCUCCUCUCGUGCGUCCUCCACUGGAUGAGGCAAUAUCACUUUCGUUUCUAUUUCAGAUAUCUCUUUUA